GACAGCCGGUGAGUAGAACGGUUGCGGCGGUGCGGGGAGAUUUUGCCCGCACACGCUCCUGUCUGGAGUGACAGCGGCGCGUGGGAUAAUAAACAAAAAUAUAUAUUUCGGCAAUCUAAGCUUUUCAAACAUGAUCUGUGUAAAAUAGUGUGAAAGAAAGGGCCUGUGUAUCGUUUCUGGCACUGGAGCUGCUAAUUGCAAUCAGCGCACCUGCGCUGCCUUCACCUCUACCGGCUUAUAAGCCCUGCGCCUCGCAGCCUCCAGUGCCAGAACGUCUCGAGCCUCACGGUGAGAACUUCCAGCCAUUUUCUGAGAAUCUGUCUGCCUGUCUGCCUGUCUGCCUGUCGACCCGUUUUGCCCCUGUUUUUUGAGCCAGCCUGAACCCCGUUGGAUUUGUCUGCCCGCCUGAGUUCUGUUCUUCAGCCUCAGUGAUUUGGACUGCCUCCCUGUGUUUCGGACCCUGCCAGCCUGUAAGUUUCUGAGAUUGCCUACUCUUUGAUUAUUGUGAUUCUGGAUUUGGAUUUGGACCUGGACCUGGACCCGUCUCUGGAUUCUCCCUCGGAAACCUCUGCUGGAUUAAACGGAUAUCCCUCCCGUCAAAGAACCGGACCGGACCUGGACAAAGAACUGGAUAACCCCUUCACGGGCCCUGCUGCUUCCUGGAAACCAGACGCUGCUAAACAAGCCGUCCUCGUGCCCCAGGAACCGCCAGAGGCUGUGUGCUGCCGCACAAACCAGGGGGGUCCGCGCCGCCACCAUCUUUAAUAAACUGUUAAAGUUUUA